rnacentral:rRNA from 1 species
GAGGGCAAGUCUGGUGCCAGCAGCCGCGGUAAUUCCAGCUCCAAUAGCGUAUAUUAAAGUUGUUGCAGUUAAAAAGCUCGUAGUUGAAUUUCGGGGUUCUACCGUUGGUCGGGCUUUGUCUGUACUGGUGUGUAGAAUUUCUACCUUCUGGGGAACCAUCAUGCUACUAAUUUAGCGUGGUGGGAAACCAGGACCUUUACCUUGAAAAAAUUAGUGUGUUCAAAGCAGGCUUAUGUCUGAAUACAUUAGCGUGGAAUAAUAGAAUAGGACGGUGGUCCUGUUUUGUUGGUUUCUGAAUCACCGUAAUGAUUAAUAGGGAUAGUUGGGGGCAUUAGUAUUCAAUUGUCAGAGGUGAAAUUCUUGGAUUUAUUGAAGACUAACUUCUGCGAAAGCAUUUGCCAAGGAUGUUUUCAUUAAUCAAGAACGAAAGUUAGGGGAUCGAAGACGAUCAGAUACCGUCGUAGUCUUAACCAUAAACUAUGCCGACUAGGGAUCGGACGAUGUUAAUUUUUCUUGACUCGUUCGGCGCCUUACGGGAAAC